rnacentral:rRNA from 1 species
GACGAACGCUGGCGGCGUGCUUAACACAUGCAAGUCGAACGAAGUGGCGAACGGGUGAGUAACGCGUAAUCAACCUGCCCUUCAGAGGGGUCCAGCAGUUGGAAACGACUCCUAAUACCGCAUACUGAAGGAGGGGAUUGCGUCUUAUUCGCUAGUUGGAGGGGGAACGGCCCACCAAGGCGAUGAUCAGUAGACGGGCUGGGAGGGUGAACGGCCACAUGGGGAAUGAGGCACGGCCCAGACUCCUACGGGAGGCAGCAGUGGGGAAUCUUCCGCAAAGGACGAAAGUCUGACGGAGCAACGCCGCGGGGGUGAUGACGGCCUUCGGGUUGUAAAGCUCUGUUAAUCGGGACGCGGUACCGAAAUAGAAAGCCACGGCUAACUACGUGCCAGCAGCCGCGGUAAUUC